rnacentral:rRNA from 1 species
CAAUAGCGUAUAUUAAAGUUGUUGCGGUUAAAAAGCUCGUAGUUGGAGUUCUGCCAGGUGCCGCCUGUCCGCCCCAGUGGUGAGUACGUGGCGCGCAUUUGGCCCUUUCAAGGGGAGCGUAUCUGCACUUUAUUGUGUGGUGCGGGAUCCUUGACUUUUACUUUGAGGAAAAGAGAGUGCUCCAAGCAGGCAAACGCCUGAAUACGUUAGCAUGGAAUAAUAGCAUCGGAUCAUCGUUCAGCUGUUGGUGUCUGGACGAGGAUAAAGGUGAACAGGGAUUGUUGGGGGCAUUCGUAUUUAACUGUCAGAGGUGAAAUUCUUGGAUUUGUUGAAGACGAGCUACUGCGAAAGCAUUUGCCAAAGAUGUUCUCAUUGAUCAAGAACGAAAGUUAGGUGAUCGAAGAUGAUCAGAUACCAU